rnacentral:RNase_P_RNA from 1 species
UUGGUGGAACGCGGUAAACCCCACGAGUGAGCAACCCAAACUUAAGGUAGGGGCACUUUUUCCACAUAAAUGAAUGUAGGAGAGAGGACCUUGUGUGUACAAGGUCAGACAGAUAAUUAUCUCUGGAAAGAUAGUAACUAUCUUUCCUAGACAGAACAUGGCUUACAAUA